CAGCGUUCUCAGGGCGGGGUGGAAUUCCCCACCGGCGGUGAUGGCGAUUCUUUGGAUCGCCGAGCCCGCGAGCGCCUGCCGAUCACUCGGCAGGGUCAGCAGAUUUCGGUGCGAUUCCGAAGCCGACGGUCAUAGUCCGGAUGAAAGAGAGCGCGA
rnacentral:ncRNA from 2 species